rnacentral:rRNA from 1 species
CCUACGGGCGGCAGCAGUAGGGAAUAUUGCUCAAUGGGGGAAACCCUGAAGCAGCAACGCCGCGUGGAGGAUGAUGGUUUUCGGAUUGUAAACUCCUUUUGUUAGAGAAGAUAAUGACGGUAUCUAACGAAUAAGCACCGGCUAACUCCGUGCCAGCAGCCGCGGUAAUACGGAGGGUGCGAGCGUUACUCGGAAUCACUGGGCGGAAAGAGCGCGUAGGCGGGAUAGCAAGUCAGAUGUGAAAUCCUAUGGCUUAACCAUAGAACUGCAUUUGAAACUGUUAUUCUAGAGUAUGGGAGAGGUAGGUGGAAUUCUUGGUGUAGGGGUAAAAUCCGUAGAGAUCAAGAGGAAUACUCAUUGCGAAGGCGACCUGCUAGAACAUAACUGACGCUGAUGCGCGAAAGCGUGGGGAGCAAACAGGAUUAGAUACCCUGGUAGUC